rnacentral:rRNA from 1 species
UACGAAGGGGGCGAGCGUUGUUCGGAUUUACUGGGCGUAAAGGGCGCGCAGGCGGUCUUGAAAGUCAGGCGUGAAAGCCCCGGGCUUAACCUGGGAAUUGCGCUUGAUACUCUGAGACUGGAGUACGGGAGAGGAGAGUGGAAUUCCCAGUGUAGAGGUGAAAUUCGUAGAUAUCGAGAGGAACACCGGUGGCGAAGGCGGCCAACUGGACAGAUACUGACGCUGAGACACGAAAGCGUGGGGAGCAAACAGG